rnacentral:rRNA from 1 species
GACGAACGCUGGCGGCGUGGAUUAGGCAUGCAAGUCGAACGGUAUCAUCCUUUCGGGGGUGAGAGAGUGGCGAACUGGUGAGUAACACGUAGGUUAUCUACCCUCAAGACGGGGACAACCCAGGGAAACUUGGGCUAAUACCGGAUGUGAGCAACUUUUAGUUGUUUGAAAGGUGGCGUAAGCUGUCGCUUGGGGAUGAGCCUGCGUCCUAUUAGUUAGUUGGUGAGGUAACGGCUCACCUAGGCAAUGAUAGGUAGGCGGCCUUAACGGGUGGUCGCCCACACUGGGAUUGAGAUACGGCCCAGACUCCUACGGGAGGCAGCAGUCGAGAAUAGUCUACAAUGGUCGGAAGACUGAUAGUGCGACGCCGCGUGAACGAUGAAUCCCUUCGGGGUGUAAAGUUCUUUUAUAUGUGAGCAGUGCUUCUUAUAUUAACAGUAUGGGGAAGAGAUAUUAGCAUAUGAAUAAGCAACGGCUAAACUCCGUGCCAGCAGCCGCGGUAAAUA